rnacentral:lncRNA from 1 species
UUAUUUGAGACAGAGUCUCGCUCUGUUGCCCAGGCUGGAGUGCAAUGGCACGAUCUCGGCUCACUGCAACCUCCCCCUCCCAGGUUCAAGAGAUUCUCCUGCCUCAGCCUCCUGAGUAGCUGGGAUUACGGGCAUGCGCCACCAUGCCCCGCUAAUUUUUGUAUUUUUAGCAGAGGAGGGGCUUUGCCAUGUUGGCCAGGCUGGUCUUGAACGCCUGACCUCAGGUGAUCCACCCACCUUGGCUUCCCAAAGGGGUGGGAUUACAGGCGUGAGCCACUGCGCCCAGCCUAUUUAUUUUUUGAGACAGGAUCUUGCUCUGUCACCCAGACUGGAGUGCAGUGGUGUGAUCUCGGCUCACUGUAGCCUCUACCUCCUGGGGCUCAAGUGAUCCUCCUGCCUUGGCCUCCCAAAACACGGAGAUAACAGGUGUGAGCCACUGUGCUCCCUCUUUUAACACCUCUUGCUUUCUUUUCUCUCUGUCACCCAGUAGGCACCUCUGACUCAGCUGUGCCCCAUAACAUCUUCCUGUGAGCAAAGGGCUCCCCAGAGGCAGGUCACCUGUACCCUAAGAGGAAACAGCAGAAUGUUGCCGUCCGCGGCAGGAGAUCGCACUCGGCCCCUGGAAGUGGACCUCAGUGGGUGGCCUGCCCUGACAGGGAAGGGCGUGAGGGGGAAGGACAUGGCCCAGAGCAAGCCACAUGAGAAAAAUUACAAUAAAGUAUGGGACAUCCGCUGGGGACAGGGAGCAAGCAACAUGGGGCCACUGAGGGAAGGAGGUGACAAGGUGGGAGCCAAGGGACAGGGGUCCUGGGGUCUGAAUUUUCCUCAGCAAGCAAGUGGGAGCCAGCAAUGGUUGUAGAGCAGGAGAGUAGUGGGUCUGGACUCAUAGAGCAGCUUGUGGCUCAGGGGAGGUAGGAGGGUUAGCUGGUUCCCCAGAGCCUGUGUGGGUGAUGGGGGGGAGGGAACUGAGGCAGCAGACCAGAAGUGCUCCUGCACAUUCCCCUGCCUGCCUACCUUCUUUUGUCCCUCCUUCCUCUCCCUCCCUCCCAACAAUGCUUUCUGAGCACCCAGGAACCUGCUGGGUGCUGGGAGGACACGAUGGACCCUCGAGAAGGCUGCCCGAGGCUCCAGGCAGGCAGAGUGCAGACCCAGCAGCUGCAGCCUCGGCUGUGGGGAGCAACAAAGGCGCCUGAAACCAGGCCGCCCACAGGAUGUUGGAAACCACAGGGCCCGAGCUGGGGUCAGCCAGACAGGAAGCGACCUCAGCCCUUCCUAACUCAGCAACAGCGCAAGGCCCCUGCCUGCAGGCUCUUUCUUUAGACUUGGCCUUACUAUGUUGCCCAGGCUGGUCUCAAA